rfam:Bombyx mori DNA, contig: Bm_scaf10_contig8628, strain: p50T/Dazao, build 2, whole genome shotgun sequence.
UUAACUCAUAUUUGUAUGGAAUGGGACCGUUUGGCUACGUUUGCCGCUAGGGGCGCUGUUCCAAUUGCAUACAAAAUUGGGUUA